GACGAACGCUGGCGGCGUGCCUAAUACAUGCAAGUAGAACGCAGUUGCGAAAGGGUGAGUAACGAGUAGGUAACCUGCCUCAUAGCGGGGGAUAACUAUUGGAAACGAUAGCUAAUACCGCCUACUGUGAGAUGGACCUGCGUUGUAUUAGCUAGUUGGUUAGGUAAAGGCUCACCAAGGCGACGAUACAUAGCCGACCUGGGAGGGGGAUCGGCCACACUGGGACGGGGAAAAGGCCCAGACUUCUAAGGGGAGGAGCAGUAGGGAAACUUCGGGCAUUGGAGGAAGGCUGGCCGGGCAACGCCGGGUUGAUGAAGGAGGUUUUCGGAACGGAAAGCUCUGGUGUUAGGGAAGCGGUACCUAACCAGAAAGGGACGGCUAACUACGUGCCAGCAGCCGCGGUAAUUC
rnacentral:rRNA from 1 species